rnacentral:rRNA from 1 species
GACGAACGCUGGCGGCGUGCUUAACACAUGCAAGUCGAGCGGUAAGGCCCUUUCGGGGGUACACGAGCGGCGAACGGGUGAGUAACACGUGGGUGACCUGCCCUCAGCUCUGGGAUAAGCCUGGGAAACCGGGUCUAAUACUGGAUAUGACUCCAUGACGCAUGUUGUGGGGUGGAAAGCCUUGUGCGGCUGAGGAUGGGCCCGCGGCCUAUCAGCUUGUUGGUGGGGUGAUGGCCUACCAAGGCGACGACGGGUAGCCGGCCUGAGAGGGCGACUGGCCACACUGGGACUGAGACACGGCCCAGACUCCUACGGGAGGCAGCAGUGGGGAAUCUUGCGCAAUGGGCGAGAGCCUGACGCAGCGACGCCGCGUGAGGGAUGACGGCCU